GGGGAACUGUAUUAUGAAGUCAGCGUGCACGUGAAGCAGUAAAAUAUCACAAAUAUUCCAGAAAAUUCCGUAGUUACAAAACAUGCACCGCGCACGUGACAAUGCUAUGCUAGCCCUCCUUUCACUUCAUGCUCGACUUGGUUACCUGAGAAAAAUACAGUGGAAAAUGUAGAAGAAAAUCCAUCGAGAUCAGCGUUUACGAUGAUGUUUCGACGCUGUGUGCCAAUGCAAAUAAAAAGAGCUGAGUAACUAACAAGUAACUGGAACUUUUUCAGAACCAAGACCAGUGGUUACCAGAAAACACUACUCACUGACUGAAAAGCAAGAAAGCUGAAGAAAGGACCAAUGGCCAAUGGAAAACACUACAUGCAGAGUAAAAGCGCAGAGCGGAGCACACAGUCCCCCGUCGAGGUGCCUCUGACUGCUCCUCUUUGCCUCAUGUUAAUUCACUUACACCUAUAGACCUGCCCCCAUCCACAUGCUGAACCUGCACUAAUGUCAACACACUAAGAUCAAUGGUUUGGUCCUGGUUUGGCUCUGGUUUAGUCCUGGUUUAGAGCACAUUUAUACUUUAUAUAGUAUAAAGUGCUGAGAAGUGUUGAUACUAGAGCUCAACAGUGACCACUUGCUCUGGUUUCAGAAGUAAAAUUUCCAUUUAUUUUUCCCAUAAACUUUUCGAACAAAUCUAAUACUAAAAGUUUAAAGACACUGAGGAGACUAUCAACUAUUUGGUAACUAAUACACAUAACGCUUGUUUUAAGUCCAAAUCUAUAGUCUAGGGUUAAAAUGCUAGAUUUGGUGAAAUACUUAGCAGUUUAUAAAGAGCCAGAAACCGAUUUCAAAUAAAUGUAUAGGUCUUGUGGUCAUUAGUAACCAUAUAUCUGAUUAACCCCAAGCAAACUUUCAAGCUUUUUUUUCGAAAAGUCUAUGGGAAAAAUGAACUUACUCCUGAAAUCGUGGGAUGGGCUGUCACUGCUGAGCUCCAUUACACAUAUACAAUAGUAAAUUAUGAAAAAUAUACUGAGAAAUUAUUAUAGAUAUUUGUUUAGCCUACUACUUUUUAUGAAAAAUUUACACAAGGUUUAUCAUUAGGCCUAUCCACAAUAAAGUUCUAAAAAGAAAGCCAUCACAAAUAAGAGUUCCUAUUGAAAUAUUUGGACUUCACUAAAUAGUUCAAAUAUAUCAUUUCAAAACACCCUAGAGUAUUGAUUUCUUUUACAAGAAUAUGAUAAACUUGCUCUGAACAUUGAAAAGGAGCAGGCUCUAUGGCAGUAAUGUCUCAAAUAUUUACAUUUUUGGGGAGAUUUUACAUUUUUAAACCUGUAGGUGUCGCUCUAACUCUGCACGCUGCCACCUGUUGCUUUACCUUUAAGUUUCCAACAGGCUGCUCUGUCUGCACAAAUAAUGCAACUAAUUGUAUUGAUAAUUCAUUUGUAAUCUACCAAAAUAAGGCUUAAGACUGGACCAGACGCUGCAUCAUCCUCCCUGGACUCGCACCCCAUUGUGAAGAGCUUCUCCAUCGUCUCGCAGUGAUGAUGUCAGAGAGGAAGCGCCAACCCAAACAUGGCACACGAUGGUACAGACGGAGGAUGCCCAGACCGCAGUGGCAUUGACGUUACCCUGCGAGGAAGGGAUGCGUCUGAUAAUCAGCCUUUCUCACUGCUGUGGAUCUUGAACAAGGAGAAGACAGCCCAUGGACUUCUAUCGCUCCAUACCAUGCAGACGGCGGGGCGCGCUCAGCCAAUCCAGUGACGCGCUGGACCCUCAACAGCAGCGGGAAGCGCGGGCCUUUCCCAUUAACACCCCGAGUGUCAGCGCUAACGAGGGGCACUGGGGCUAACACACACACACACAGUCACACACACACACACAAUAAGCACAAAAGCACACACUUAAGUAUACACACGGCGCUCUCACGGGCCUCUUCGAGCGGUGCGUAAAAGGGAUCCACAAGGUUUGGAUAAUUAUAAUUUGGAGGGCAGUUUCCAUGCUGUAUUGGAUUUGUUUUAUUUACGUUUAUGCUAUGUUUUUCAAAAUAUUGUGUAAAUCGACUAUGUAAGCAUUUUAAGAAGUAGGGCCAAGAGUGUGCAGGAAGGUUAAGUCUAACGAGUAAAAAUCGGUAUGGUGGGUCUCAUCUGGGCAGGGGACACUCAGUUAUUCACCCAAAUAAAUAUAAUUGUUAUAGCCUAUAUAUGUUGCUUUUACUGCGAGUUUGGUAAUUAUGUUUCCCGCAGUUGCACUACAGGAUAGUUUGGACUUCAUUGUUUCUAAUCACAAAUGUACUUUGGAGCUUGACUGUAAAUGAAUCUGUCUAAUAUUUCGAUGUAAAUAGCAGAACACUUGGCAUAGUAUGUAAAAUAUUCAUUGGGCUAUUGCAGUGCAUUUGUCUGCUGUAACUUCAGUGCCCAAUUUCCCCGGGGCCCUUAUGUGCGCUGCGUGUGAACUGUGCGUAAUGACGCCCUCCUCACAAGGGGUGGGGCUAUAGCGCGCUGCGGGAAUGUUUGAAUGAGAGGACUGUGGACUGUGUACAGAAGAGGAAAACAAACCGAUCUUAUUCAUUCAAAAAUAACGGUUACAAUACAUAUUAUAAAUGACCAACUAUUGUGGUGACGAUGGCUCAAGCAACUGAGGUUUUUACAAGUUCAACCCAUAAAACAAUAAGAACUGUAUUCAGUUCAGUUGUGACUGUGUGGGCGUGGUUACGGCAGUGUUACCAUGGACCAUUCUGAUUGGCUCGGACGCUUAUCACCUACACAACGCACCUGUAGCAGUCAUUAAACAAGCAUACACUGUAUUUAUUCUAAUUAUUUUUUAUGUAUCUAUAAUUUACGUUACGUUUCGGAAAAUCUGCAGGCUAUUGCUCUUUGAAACAUGGCUUCGACUUGCGUUUAUAAUAUUUAAUGCUAAUAACAGACAGUUUCUGUAUUGUGAGUCUCACCUGUGUCUCAGAGAGGUUGAGUUGUCUGGCCAGCUCGGUGCGCUCGCGCCCCACUACGUACUGACAGCGCUGAAACUCGAGCUCGAGCCGGUACAGCUGCUCCGCCGUGAACGACGUUCGCGUGCGCUUAGGCCGGUCCAAGUCCAGGCCUUUGGGCAGCACGAUCUCUCUUAUCGUGCCUUUGGCAUCUGUGGGAAAAGAAGAGGCAAAAAAAUGAAAACUUUACAAGCUAAAGCCUCCGCUACUUUACAUGAUUAUGACGCUAAUAGCUUUCGCGUGCACAUUUUUACGAUAGGCCCAUGUUGCCAAAUUAGCCACAGGCGCACAACGCAUUUCCAACUAAGCAAUCGUACAAAAUUCAUUGCUGCACCUGUUUAUAUUGUGUUGGAAUAAUUGCAGUAAAUGUUUUUAAAAAAUGAACUUAAACCGAUAUAAUUUGUUGCCAUAGAAAUGCCCACUAAUUGUCUGUGACUUCUAUAAGAAAACAUUAAUUGGUCUUUUGUCCCUGGUUCUAACCGACGGUUUCCAUAGAAACAGAGCUCUUAAUUUACGCACAAAUAAACCCGAGGUGUAGGGCUAUUAAAGUUGGCAGUGACUGUAUAACACUUUGGUUUAUGUGUUAUUAUGCUAUAAAAGACAAGUGUCACCAACUCAUAUUGUGCAUUCUCCUUUAAGGCCAGAGAGGUGUCCGAUAUGUGGCCUGUAUGUUGCUGCAACACCUGUUAGACAAACUAUAAAAAAACAACACACACACACACAUUUCCUAAUGGUUCCCUCAGGCCCAUGUGGCCACGCAAAAUGCAAGCUUACGUAGUCUCCUGUCUGUGCGUCAGGUGCGUCAUGUUGGCUAUUGUGACACUUACGGAACAUGAAGCUUUGUAUUAAGUACAAAUACUGGCAAUAUCCUUCACUAUAUCUGCUCAAUAAACGCACCAGGGAACUUUACUCACAAAUUGCUUAAACUAUAUGAGUAGCCUAUGAGCCUAACAAGUCAUUAUGCGUCUUUGUCUUAAUAAACUUCUGUACUAUCGAAAAUUGAGCUCUAUAUCAGCCAGUGGCACUUACAAGUCUUGAAAAAAACAAAACAAAAACAAAAAAAUUCAAAAUAUUUUUUAAAUAUUUUAAUCGUAUUUUGAUGUGGAACUUUAACUGAGUUGCCGUAGCCUGCAUGCACUUGGGUAGUAGGACCCUUGCGUAUGCAUAAUGUUAUCUGACGUGCCCAAACACAUGCGUAAAAUGUGGACUCUGAAAGCGUAAAAUUGAAUGAAUGGGCCAAACCGAAAUAGUGCCAUUGCCAAUGCUGCUAGCCUAUGGUAAACUGCGUGUCUGCGUGGAUCUAAUGACCUGUGGGACUUUCACUCAUCAACUGUAACUAUGUAAAUAAACAUGUAACUGUGUAAAUACCCAUAAAACACACGUCGAAACGUCUUUCUUGGGACAUACAAAAGCGUAUCACAAUAUGUAAGUAAGUGGUAGCCUAUAAUUUAAAAAAAAUUAAAAAAUAAUUAAUUAAAUUAAAUAAAGACAAGCCCAUUGCAAGUCUAAAAUAUAUGGUAAGAUCCGUUGAUGUGGCGUUGAAAAAAAAUCUGAGAAAGGGUAAAAUAAAUAAAAAUAUUAUGAAUAGAGUGUGUCCAUGCGCUGAGGAUGCAGACUGCAAUUGUCUCGUGCUUUCUCGUGUCUUGAAGCUCCAUAAAUAACUCAGAAGACAUUUUCUCGCUGUUGGCUCUGCGCAGGUAUUUGCGCCUCACGUAUGAAAUAUUUGUUAGUAUUUAUCACAUUCACAGACAGAGCAGAGUGGACAACAGUCACUCUUUGUCUAUGCAUGUACGUUCAUACAACAUUUAUCUGAAUAAAAAAUGAAAAGGUCUGUAUUAAAAAUGAAACCAAUCUUAUUGAACAAAGUUUCCAAUUUCCAUUGUGUUUGAGCGUUUUCACGAAUCUGGCGUAUGCGAAAUAUAAAAUAUGAGUAUCCUUAUCUAAUAUACAGGUACUGGGACAUUUUCUAAACUAUAAAUUAUUGCACAGAUUUCACCCUGAAACAUUUAGACACAAAACGUAGCCUUAGAUAAUUUAACAAAGAUCCCUGUGCGUAAACUUAAUUUUAGGCAAUAAUAAAAGAUGAGUAAAUUGCAAACAUUAUAUGUGUGCCUCAUAUUUUCACAUCAGUAAAUAGUGAAGAUAUUACAGUUGGUUCAGCCACAGACUUGAGCUUUAUAAAGCCACAGCACUUUAAUGCCUCCAUCUUUACGCACGCAUAAUAGCUGUGCGUAACGCCGUUAAAUUAUGCCAGCCUACAUCAUCCAAAGCUCCUAAAUAAAUAAAUAUAAGACGUCAAUGUAUAUGGUUCUGUAUAGGAGCCCGUGGGUGCGGAGAGAUUCGCGUGCGCAGCAGAAACGCGCUCGCUGUGUAACAGACCUGCUGACCUCCCCGUGACCCCGAGGUCGCGCCACACACACAUAUAAGCACUCCGGCGCAUAGAGUCACUCACGGGGCUUUAAAAACAAAUAGUGCCACUGCCAGUCGAUGCAAUGCCCAGUAUUAAACCCACAUGAAACCAAGCCUAUGCCCACACAGCUCACUUCCGCUUUUAUACACAAUUAACACCGGCCACAACAAUGACAACAACGAGUUUAAUCACGAUUUACGCUUCGACCUAAACCUCCAUCAGGAACAGCGGUUUUAUUUGAGCAAUGACCACUCACGAGAAGUAACCUGACCAAAGAUCGGGUACAUGUAAAGGCUAAAUUUAACCACUGUAGGCAUUUAAGUUUCGGGUUGUCCUUUCGCCAUUUUGUUCCUUGUUAUUGCAGUUUUUACGCGUGCAUAGUGUACAGCACAUCACCUACCACAUUACGCACAUGUAUGUUUUGGAGAGCAUCCUUUCCAGAGACAUAAUU